ACCGUUUUCAAGUUCUAAGUUGUACGCAUAAACCCUUCUUCUUCCUUAACGAUUCUUGAAUUACUUGGAAUUUCAGGCAGACAAAAUUCCACCGGGAAAACGAGCAUCGUCACUUACAACUCGUCCCUCCUUCCGAUUUUUCUAGAGUUGUUCUUUCUACUUCUUUAUUCCUCAAAUUAAGAGUUUCUGUUGAGUUAGAUGGGGACUGCGGAGGGAUUGGUGAUGCAGUUUGGAGUGACGAAGCCGAUUUCCAUGGCGGGACCUGCUGCUGCCAAUUUGAAGAAAACUGGUGAACUGGAGAAGGUUUUUUUUUUUUUUUGAUUCUUGAUCAUCUUUUUCAAGUUGCACUUUAUACUUCUUGAUUUUGAUCAUCAUCAGGCUUGAAACUGAAAGACAAAAACCUUUUAUUGGUCAUAAGUAUUUUGCUUGCAGAAUUCUCAAGCUGGGAGAAAAGUUCUCUAAACCAGGCGUACGCGAUGAUGAUCCAUUCUAUGCAAAUACAAAAAGCAUGUUGAUCACCCUUGACCUUCAGAGAAAAUAAAAAAGACCCAGAUUUUGAUCUGAUUUGAACCAACAAAACAUUUUCUGAAAUUAAGAUUAACUUGGGUCAUUGCAUUUUUAUUCAUAAUUCAAAGUUCAACGGUAGCAAACUGUGAGAAGAUCAGCUCUAAUGAAAAACAUCAAAGGCAAAGGCGUAUUCUCGGCUCCUGGUGAUUACAUCUACUUCAAAUCCCAAGUUCCUCUUCACCAAAUUCCUUACUAUCAAGGCAUUGGUCAAACCUAUUCUCAGGAGAAAAUUGAUGAACCCAGGGAGUUGUGGAUUACAUACGUUGGAGAUCAACACGAAGCACAAAUGGUGAAUGAGUUCUAACUUUCCGCCUAAUUUUUUUUUUUUUUUACCUUAAUCCACUUUUGGACAUACAUUAUAUUUUUGGAUUUGGAUAAUGAUAUCAUGUGGAUUUGGCUAUAGGCUAGAUUUGAUCUUAUUUACGAUUUAGAUUAAUAUUGAUAUGUAUAUAUAGUAGUUUUUUUUAGAUGUUUAGAAUUAUGAAUAUUAGUUCCAUUAUUUUAUGAUAUAAAGAAUUUUGGAAGUUUGGAAUAUCA